AUUGAACGCUGGCGGCAUGCUUUACACAUGCAAGUCGAACGGUAACAGGGAGCUUGCUCCGCUGACGAGUGGCGAACGGGUGAGUAAUGCGUCGGAACGUGCCGAGUAGUGGGGGAUAACGGAUCGAAAGGUGUGCUAAUACCGCAUUCGUACUGAGGUAGAAAGUGGGGGACCUUCGGGCCUCACGCUAUUCGAGCGGCCGACGUCUGAUUAGCUAGUUGGUGUGGUAAAGGCUCACCAAGGCGACGAUCAGUAGCGGGUCUGAGAGGAUGAUCCGCCACACUGGGACUGAGACACGGCCCAGACUCCUACGGGAGGCAGCAGUGGGGAAUUUUGGACAAUGGGCGCAAGCCUGAUCCAGCCAUGCCGCGUGUCUGAAGAAGGCCUUCGGGUUGUAAAGGACUUUUGUCGGGGAGGAAAUCCCCAGCGUUAAUACCGCUGGGGGAUGACAGUACCUGAAGAAUAAGGAGAUCCUAAUUCUGUGCCAGCAGCCGCCGUAACAC
rnacentral:rRNA from 1 species